GCUUACGGCCACACCAACCUGGCUAUGCCCGAUCUCGUCUGAUUCUCGGAAGCUAAGCAGGUUUGGGCCUGGUUAGUACUUGGAUGGAGACCGCCUUGGAAUACCAGGUGCUGUAAGCU
rnacentral:rRNA from 1 species